UUUUGAAUCUUCUUCUUGGCUUCUCCUUCUUCUUCAAGUAUAUAUCGGAUCUAUAUGAUCUGCUGAGUGAUACGACCAAGGGCAUUAGGUGUUAUGGUAAAUUAGUGGUGCUCUUUUACAUUUUCAAGACAUGUACACGUGUAGAUUUUGUUGCAGACCCACUUGAUUUUGCCUGCCCCAAUUUUUUCUUUGUAAAAUUUGGUAAGCAAUCUAUCAUUUGGCUUUUACGAUUUCUCUCCAUCCUUUGGUGAGUUUUCUAUUUUCUUUUUUUGAUCUAUUUUCUUUUGUUUUUUAUCUUCUAUUUUCUCUGCUUAACUCUUCUUUUUUAUUUCUAUCUUUUACUUUCCCUGUGUAAUUUUGUUGCAUUUUCUGUUCUUUCUAAAACAAUUUGGUGACUUUUCAGUUUCCCCUUCCUUGCCUUUUCCUCUGUUUUUUCAAUCAUGCGUAUGUUUCAAUAUGAAAAUUUUGGGUCUAAUUUUUUCUAACUUCUAUCAGGUUGUUUUCUGUGUAAUUAGUUUCCAAUAGAUAGCAGAACUUCCCAGAGUUCUGAUAAUCUACACUCGGAAUUGAAUGAAGGAUGUAAAUGAGCUCUUUUUUAUCUUUAUGAAAUAAAAACAAGAAUUUAUAAUGGCUGUAGCAGGUACUGAUUCACAAUAUCUGCAACUACAUGCAUGAUAUUACAUUACUCCUACAUAUAUUGUGUUUGUUUCUUUAGUACAAUGGUUGUAUGUAUUUGGCCCUUUUUCCUGUUCAUGUAUAUUGUAGGAAAAAGGGAAAGCAAAAUUGUUUUAACCAGAGCAACUGAAGCACGUAGCCCUUUAAGAUCUUUUAGAAUGCUUUGAGGACAAGCAAAAUUGUUUGCCUUACUUGCUGAAUUUAUUUGCCCGAAAUUUGACCGCUCUGCAUUAGGAACUUCUUGGAUCUUGGAAAUUGGAAUAGAAUGGUUCAAGGGUCCUAGACGAAACAAUUUAUUUUCUUUUCUUUUGUGUAUAUAAUAAGUGUGAAUUUUGUGGUAAGACCAAGGGCAUUACUGUAAAUAUAAUACAAAGUGUGGCUGUUAUGGUAAAUUAUUCAUUUAAGCAGGACUCAAAUAUUCUUCGUACUAGGUCAUAAUGUUUGUAUCCGCUUACCUUCAUUGAAUUUUUGGUGUAAAUAUUGUAGCAGUAAUGGUAUUAAGACGAACUCAAUGGGAAUAGAGAAGGGCUAUGUGAACGAAAUUCCCAAAGGUCAGUAAAUGCAUUUAUGCUCAGUCAAUUAUUUCAGUUGUCUUUAUGUUCUACAUUAGAGUUGGCAAAAAUGAGUUAGUCACCCGCCUUUCUAUAAAAAACCACCAGUAAAGCAGUUUCUUAUAAUUUUGUAAGACUUAUGAGAAAGAAAACAACUGGGCUUGCAGUAGGGGAAACGAGGUUGUUGAAAGUCGAGGUGAGCAAGAAGAAGAGUAGAUUAUGGUAGGUCAUUGGUGAAUUCCUGAGAUUCUAUGUUUUGUUGGAGAGAAUAUGUAGGAGUAGCUUUUUAUUUAAAGAAAUUUCUAUUCGAGUAUUUUAGCUAUUUAUUUUUGCCAUGAAUGUGUAAGUGGUCAUGUCUAAAAUAGUUGGAAGUACUUAUCAAAAAAAAAUUUAUAGUUGGAAGUAUGGCGAACAAAAGCAUCUCUGCUUUGGCGAUAACUGAAUUAAGUUCUGACUAGCUGUUUUAAGCUAAUUUUGACACUACUAAAAAGUUGUAAUUAGGUCCUUGGUAGUAGAACUGGCAAUAAAAUGAUUUGCGUCUAAUAUUUGGUGUAUCUUAUCUCAUAUGUUUUUACUAUAUACCUUCUCAAAAAAUGUUUUUACUAUAUAACCAUCUCAUUUCAUGUGGAUUUGGCAUGUAAUCUACAGCUUCAUAUCUGAUUUGAGUUCAUCCUUGACGUUUACAAUGAUCAGUGGCUUACUUUCAUCCACUAGACCCCCUAAAAGUUCUUCAUUUACAUUCUCAUGUUUCCCAUAAAGUACUAAUAGUAAAUAUGAGUUAGAAAAGACUUCAAUAUUAAACAGAAAAUUAAGAAAUGUUGGAGAUUUUGGGUGUCUUUUUCUUCUUCAACUUUGGCAUAAUUGAUCUUUUACAAGUACUUUUGGUGUUUGUCUCUAACAAGUUCUGCUUAAAGUGAGACCAAUGGUGUUAUCAGUGGCUUUUUAUUUCUCGCUGCGGAGAAACAGGAAAAUGGAUAGUUCUAUGUAAGUACUUGCUACAUUUGCAGAUUCCCCUAUUUGGGCAUAGGGACUAAAGGAAAGCAUCUCUGUUCUUGACUUGAAAUAGAGUAGUACAUCUUCAACUAUAAGUUCCUUCACACAAGGCAAAUUAUUCAUCCGCAGAUUCUCAUACAGUUCAGUGAUGUCGGCAAAUUUAAAUUUGCUUUAUUAAAAAAGAGAAUGAACAAGGACAAUAUUUUGAUAGUGCUUUAUAGUUUCAUCAUGCUAUAACUACUGAUAUCAUUUUGCUCAGGAUUCAUUAUUAAUGAAAAGCUUCCAUUCUAUUUCUAUCAUUGGCAUCUUUUUAACACUAAAGUAUAAAUAAUUAAUUUAUUAAUUUUUUUCAUUUUAUAUCUUGGUCAGUAGAAAAUAUGUACAGACAACUUUUCUAAUGGUCAUAUAAAAACAAGAUAUGCUGGUGUCACUCGAGGAUGACAAUUUGGUUUUGGACUGAGCGUAAAAAAGGAGGCAAAUCCAAUGUAAUCUUACCGCAAAUCUGGUCUUGGCAUCUGAUGAAUUUCCUCUUGGCCUUGGACGAUUAUCUUAGGAUACAUUAUGCUAUAUGAAGUGGCAUGCUUUUUUUGUUACUGACUCAUGAUGAUUGUUUGACUCACAUAAAUUUGCAGAAAACAGAUAUCCAAAUGUGCAGCGGGUGUUUAAGGUUUCUAAGGAAUUGAAGUGUUGUUAUAUAGCCCAUUAUAGCUCAACAAAUUGGAGGCAGGUUGCUCCGUCACAAGAGAAAAAAUUUCAAUCCUUUCAUCCUCAAAGGUCUCCGUCACAUGUACAUGAGUCUUCAUAUAGAAGAUGAAACGACUUACAUUUACUUCAGCGGAUGUAUUUCUAUAAAGCCCUUUGAUAUAUUUGUAUUCUCAUAUAUUGUCAUGAUUCAAUCAAAGAUAGUUAUUAUAACGUAAUAACCCAAAUUAACCAUAUUGGGCCUGUGCAUUGCAUGGGCAAACCUUGCUAGUUUAUUUUAGAACGUAGGAUGAUUAGAAAAUUCAUGAGGAGAUAAAUAUGAGCACCACGUGACAGGCAUCUGAAGU